UGCAAGUCGAACGAUACUAUCCAGCUUGCUGGAUGGGAAAGUGGCGCACGGGUGCGUAACGCGUAUGCAACCUACCUUAAUCAGGGGGAUAGCCCGAAGAAAUUCGGAUUAACACCGCAUAAAAUCACAGUACAGCAUUGUACAAUGAUCAAAUAUUUAUAGGAUUAAGAUGGGCAUGCGUGUCAUUAGCUAGUUGGCGGGGUAACGGCCCACCAAGGCGACGAUGACUAGGGGAUCUGAGAGGAUGGCCCCCCACACUGGUACUGAGACACGGACCAGACUCCUACGGGAGGCAGCAGUAAGGAAUAUUGGUCAAUGGAGGCAACUCUGAACCAGCCAUGCCGCGUGCAGGAAGACAGCCCUCUGGGUCGUAAACUGCUUUUAUUCGGGAAUAAACCACUUUACGUGUAAUGUGCUGAAUGUACCGAAGGAAUAAGGAUCGGCUAACUCCGUGCCAGCAGCCGCGGUAAUACGGAGGAUCCAAGCGUUAUCCGGAUUUAUUGGGUUUAAAGGGUGCGUAGGCGGCCUGUUAAGUCAGGGGUGAAAGACGGUAGCUCAACUAUCGCAGUGCCCUUGAUACUGACGGGCUUGAAUGAACUAGAGGUAGGCGGAAUGUGACAAGUAGCGGUGAAAUGCAUAGAUAUGUCACAGAACACCGAUUGCGAAGGCAGCUUACUAUGGUUUUAUUGACGCUGAGGCACGAAAGCGUGGGGAUCAAACAGGAUUAGAUACCCUGGUAGUCCACGCCCUAAACGAUGAAUACUCGCUGUUAGCGAUAUACAGUUAGCGGCUAAGCGAAA
rnacentral:rRNA from 1 species